UUGAGUUCUCAGGUAUGGGUUCAACUCCUAUAGUUCUAG
rnacentral:tRNA from 1 species